rnacentral:ncRNA from 1 species
AGUAAAGAUAAUAAGGGCGUACGGUGGAUGCCUUGGCGAUAUCAGCCGAAGAAGGACGCGGUAAGCUGCGAUAAGCUACGGAGAGAUGCAAGCAAUCUUUGACCCGUAGAUAUCCGAAUGGGGGAACCCGGCAGUGGUUAUGCACUGUCACCCAUAGCAUAGACUAUGAGGAGGGCACCCGGGGAACUGAAACAUCUAAUUACCCGGAGGAACAGUAAUCAAACGAGAUUUUCUUAGUAGCGGCGAGCGAACGGGAAAGAGGCCAAACCGGAGCGGGCAACCGCAC